GAUGAACGCUGGCGGCGUGCCUAAUACAUGCAAGUCGAGCGAACAGACGAGGAGCUUGCUCCUCUGACGUUAGCGGCGGACGGGUGAGUAACACGUGGAUAACCUACCUAUAAGACUGGGAUAACUUCGGGAAACCGGAGCUAAUACCGGAUAAUAUAUUGAACCGCAUGGUUCAAUAGUGAAAGACGGUUUUGCCGUCACUUAUAGAUGGAUCCGCGCCGCAUUAGCUAGUUGGUAAGGUAACGGCUUACCAAGGCAACGAUGCGUAGCCGACCUGAGAGGGUGAUCGGCCACACUGGAACUGAGACACGGUCCAGACUCCUACGGGAGGCAGCAGUAGGGAAUCUUCCGCAAUGGGCGAAAGCCUGACGGAGCAACGCCGCGUGAGUGAUGAAGGUCUUCGGAUCGUAAAACUCUGUUAGUAGGGAAGAACAAAUGUGUAAGUAACUAUGCACGUCUUGACGGUACCUAAUCAGAAAGCCACGGCUAACUACGUG
rnacentral:rRNA from 1 species